AUUACAAGGUUUUCAGUCUCCACCACAAAGCCCGGAGACCCUCUUUUAGGUUUUUGUUUUUUCACUCCUUCGUACGUACACCGCGUCACACAGGUAAUUCUGAAUGGUAAUAUAAAGUACAAUUUAUAAAUAUAUAAAUAUUUUAUUAAAAAAAAAACUAGAUUUUACCGAUACAAAAUAAUUUUUCUUUUAAGGUAGAAUCUACUUUUCUGUCUGAGACUUCAAGAAAUCAUUUUUCGUUAAAUCUCCUCUCGCUCCAUCCUCAAAUAUAGUUAGUUGCCUUGCCAUCGAAGAGGCGGCAUCUCAAUUUUCAUUCCUGGUCAGACCCGAGUAAGCAGAAAAAUCCUCAACAGGCUCUCUUUCUCAAGGUUAACUUUGCUUUUAAAUCUGCAUUAUUAUUAUUAUUAGUCUGCUAAUUAAAUUGAAUAUGCAGCAGAGGCUGUCUUUCUUUUUGAAUGUGCACGUGGGCAUUCAGUGCAUGUAAUCAGUCUUGGCACUUUAUAAUCAUGUACUUUAUUUUUGUUUAGUUUAAUGCCAAGAGACUCAAAACUUCCGCUGAUCCCAACUGGAGUUGUUAAUGUUCUCGAGUUGUUUAGCUGGGAACUCUGCAUCAAAAAUAUAAUUCAAAAGUAUCUUUGAUAUAAUAAUUACCUCGUACCUAGGCCAGUGGGUCAAUUAUACCAAGGUCCUCGAGAUGUGCUUAGCCAGACGGAAAUUGCCUGUCUUGUUUCGAGUUGGAUCUGUUCACUCAUAAUAAAUUUACCCAUGGAAGACAUCCCAACAAGCUGCACCACCAGCAUUAUAUGGAAGGAACAUUAAUCUAUAUGUUGUUCAAUGUUCACCACAUUUUUCUACUCUCAGUGUAAUCACUACAUUGGACGUGUGGUAGACCCCGACGACAUAUAUCCUUCUUCUCUAUUUUUUUGUACUUUUUAAUCUGGCAGUUACACCCGGGAGACGCCAGGUGCUAGCUAUAGGGGGAGACUGGAGUGGCCCCCCUUGGGUUUUCCUGUAAAGCUCGGCUUUCAAUGAGAUGGGCUUUCCAUAUCCUUGACCUUUCGACUGAUGCAGUAGUGCUCAUCUAGGAAAGCAAAGCCUGAUAUUUGUGCAGUGCAUUCAUUUCCUUGAGUAAUGAUGAUGGCUGAUAUCCAAAGAAUACUGCACCCUUGAUAUGGCUCAGUUGCUGCAGAAACUAAGAAGGGAUUUCUGUCAGUCACUGAUAAGAAAGAUGGAUACAAGUUUGUUUAUCCAUUUGGGUGGCAGGUCAUGUGCUUUGCCCUGUUUUAUCUGCAGCUUCGAUUUUGUCUAGUAUCUCCGAGGCUAAUGUCACUGUUUUUUAGUUAACCUAUCAGUAAACUGCUAAAUGCCGACAGUUAAAAGUAGCUUCUCCAUGUUUUGCUGUCUUGGGCAUUUGCAGGAAGCAGUGAUUGACGGUCAAGAAAGGGUUUUUAAAGAUCUCAUUGGGCCAUUAGAAAGUGUUCAGCGUGAAUGUGAUCCCAACAAGCAAACAGGACAUUCGAGUCUUUGGGCCCCCACAAGGGGUUGUAGAAACUUUGAUGAAAAAAAAGGGUCUUGGCGCCCCCCGCCUUCCCAAAAGACAAAGAUAAUUGAGGCAGAAGAGGUUUGAGUCGUUUGACUCCAUAAGUUUGGUUAAUCAAGGUACAACUUAAAUUAUCCUUUAUACGCUUUUGCUCGUGACUAAGACACUGCAAUGGAGGUAAUAUUCCUUCUUAUACAAAAGUUGGUUAUCUUGGUCUCGUGUCUUCUUAAACCUUGACUGCUUUUAAGUCUGGUUUUACCGUUUGCCACAGUAUUCAAAGAGGUAUCUUUGAGGGAUGACCAUACUUUCUUUGUCCUUAAAUCCAGUUCACAUUUAUCUACCCAAAAUUCAACGCCAUGUCUUCUAUUUAUUUUUUUAUUUUUUUAUUUUUUUAGAGAAAGGGUACUUCUUUCAGUUACUUUGUUGGUUGAAUAGAAUAUAAUUAAACAAAUAUGCAGAGUAAAUUGUUUUAUGGGAAGGAGAUAAGAAGCUUUUGUUCAUUUUAUGUAAGAGCAGACCAUUUUAGCAUGAAUCAGGAGCUUUUACUGCUAGUCGUUGGAGCAUGAUGUUGAUGGGAAAGCAUAUUGUACAUUUGAGUUCAUUGCUGAGGCUCCAAACUACACCCGCCAUGCUCUCAGCACAAUCUCCAUAGGUAAGAUGAAAUACAGAUUGCAUACGGUUAUUGAUUCCUUCCAAAAUUUCGAGGUUUGAGGCGGCCAUUCGAUUUUCCUAUUCAAGAUUAGGGACACCCGCUUUUGAACUGCAAGCGUUACUGCAUUUGAGCCAAUACCAGUCGGUAACUAUUUCCUCUUUUUCUUCUCUUCUAUGGCUCUCUUUCAUGGAAUUUUUGGGUAAAGACUAUUGUUCAACUUAACGCAUAAAGGAACAGUGUUGACGAGGUGUAUUUGGUUGUUCCUAAUGAAAUCACAUUGAGAGUUACAUAAUUUAUGUGCUGGAAAGCAUU